UUGAAGGGAAUCGCGCGGAGGCGGAGAGGCGAAGCAGCAGAUCGGCUGCGGUUUCGGUCCGAAUGGGGCCGAGGCCAGUCACCGACACCAGGCAAGGUUGGCCGGCCAGUUAGACUGCGCCACCGGCCGAGCUCCUGGCUCGGGAACCGAAAGGGCUCCCAAUAAUUCCGCCUCAGCUGGGACUCGCACUCCUCGCAGCCUCAAACGGGGGCCACGGUAACGGCAAGGCGCCAUGACACCUCGGGGUGCUCCGAAGUUCUCCAUCACCACAUAGCUUUUUAAAGCUCUCGUUGGACGGAGUACAGCUCGAGAUUACCACACGUUUGUUUGGGCUCCUCUCCCGAAGGAGGCCGGUCAGGUGGAACGCCAGCAGUAAGUAACGUUCGAAGUAGGGUGCCGUGCACAAUUCUGAUUUGAUGGAGGCAGAUGUGAGAGCACGGAGGAACAUCUGGUGAAACUUUUGAAAUGCCUGUUUUGCUGCCUCUGCUACUGUGUGAUCUGAAAUCUCCAGAGGGGAAGGCCCCGAAUCCUCGGCUUUGCUCAUUGCUCGGCGGCCGGGGCGGGGUCGAAGCUCUUGGCAGAGAUGUUGCUCAGUGUCGGUCGGCUGGUCGGAGGCUCGAAGUUUUCGGACGGACUCAGAGUCGGCUGUGGUCAGGUGCUUCCAGGGUGCUGCAUCAGCAAGUUUGCGGCGCUGGAGGCUCAUGGUAGGGAGAGUUUCUCCCUUCUACUGUCUGCGUGAGAUGUUGGGGCUAUCGGGACUUUGAGACUUUUCUUAACCAUGCCCAUGGUCUGCUCUUUAUCAAAUUACGGUAUUGCUUUGUACUGUUGUAACUAUAUGUUAUAAUUAUAUGGUUUGUGUCCGUUUUAGUCUUGGUCUGUCCUGUGUUUCUGUGAUAUGAU